rnacentral:rRNA from 1 species
UGCAUGGUUGUCGUCAGCUCGUGUCGUGAGAUGUUGGGUUAAGUCCGCAACGAGCGCAACCCCUAUUGUUAGUUGCCAUCAUUCAGUUGGGCACUCUAGCGAGACUGCCGGUAAUAAACCGGAGGAAGGUGGGAUGACGUCAAAUCAUCAUGCCCCUUAUGACCUGGGCUACACACGUGCUACAAUGGUUGGUACAACGAGUUGCGAGUCGGUGACGGCGAGCUAAUCUCUUAAAGCCAAUCUCAGUUCGGAUUGUAGGCUGCAACUCGCCUACAUGAAGUCGGAAUCGCUAGUAAUCGCGGAUCAGCACGCCGCGGUCGAAUACGUUCCCGGGCCUU